AUUGAACGCUGGCGGCAUGCCUUACACAUGCAAGUCGAACGGCAGCACGGGGGCAACCCUGGUGGCGAGUGGCGGACGGGUGAGUAAAGCAUCGGAACGUAUCCUGGAGUGGGGGGAUAACGUAGCGAAAGUUACGCUAAUACCGCAUAUUCUGUGAGCAGGAAAGCAGGGGAUCGCAAGACCUUGCGCUCUGGGAGCGGCCGAUGUCGGAUUAGCUAGUUGGUGGGGUAAAGGCCUACCAAGGCGACGAUCUGUAGCUGGUCUGAGAGGACGACCAGCCACACUGGAACUGAGACACGGUCCAGACUCCUACGGGAGGCAGCAGUGGGGAAUUUUGGACAAUGGGCGCAAGCCUGAUCCAGCCAUUCCGCGUGCAGGAUGAAGGCCUUCGGGUUGUAAACGUGCUUUUGUACGGAACGAAACGGUACGUGCCCUAAUACGCGGGCUAAUGACGGUACCGUAAGAAUAAGCACCGGCUAACUACGUAGCCAGCAG
rnacentral:rRNA from 1 species